UACGGAGGAUCCAAGCGUUAUCCGGAAUCAUUGGGUUUAAAGGGUCCGUAGGCGGUUUGGUAAGUCAGUGGUGAAAGCCCAUCGCUCAACGGUGGAACGGCCAUUGAUACUGCCAGACUUGAAUUAUUAGGAAGUAACUAGAAUAUGUAGUGUAGCGGUGAAAUGCUUAGAGAUUACGAUGGAAUACCAAUUGCGAAGGCAGGUUACUACUAAUGAUUGACGCUGAUGGACGAAAGCGUGGGUAGCGAACAGG
rnacentral:rRNA from 1 species